ACGUUGGUGGCUCAGUGGUAGAAUUCUCACCGUCCAUACCAGAGACCUGGGUUCAAUUCUCGGCCAAUGUA
rnacentral:tRNA from 1 species